rnacentral:rRNA from 1 species
AUGUCUGGGAAACUGCCUGAUGGAGGGGGAUAACUACUGGAAACGGUAGCUAAUACCGCAUAACGUCGCAAGACCAAAGAGGGGGACCUUAGGGCCUCUUGCCAUCGGAUGUGCCCAGAUGGGAUUAGCUAGUAGGUGGGGUAACGGCUCACCUAGGCGACGAUCCCUAGCUGGUCUGAGAGGAUGACCAGCCACACUGGAACUGAGACACGGUCCAGACUCCUACGGGAGGCAG